UACGAAGGGGGCUAGCGUUGUUCGGAAUUACUGGGCGUAAAGCGCACGUAGGCGGGUUGUUAAGUCAGGGGUGAAAUCCUGGAGCUCAACUCCAGAACUGCCUUUGAUACUGGCAACCUAGAGACUGGAAGAGGUUAGUGGAAUUCCCAGUGUAGAGGUGAAAUUCGUAGAUAUUGGGAAGAACACCAGUGGCGAAGGCGGCGACCUGGGUCGAGACUGACGCUGAGGCGCGAAAGCGUGGGGAGCAAACAGG
rnacentral:rRNA from 1 species